rnacentral:rRNA from 1 species
AUUGAACGCUGGCGGCAUGCCUUACACAUGCAAGUCGAACGGCAGCACGGGUGCUUGCACCUGGUGGCGAGUGGCGAACGGGUGAGUAAUACAUCGGAACAUGUCCUGUAGUGGGGGAUAGCCCGGCGAAAGCCGGAUUAAUACCGCAUACGAUCUACGGAUGAAAGCGGGGGACCUUCGGGCCUCGCGCUAUAGGGUUGGCCGAUGGCUGAUUAGCUAGUUGGUGGGGUAAAGGCCUACCAAGGCGACGAGCAGUAGCUGGUCUGAGAGGACGACCAGCCACACGGGGACUGAGACACGGCCCAGACGCCUACGGGAGGCAGCAGUGGGGAAUUUUGGACAAUGGGCGAAAGCCUGAUCCAGCAAUGCCGCGUGUGUGAAGAAGGCCUUCGGGUUGUAAAGCACUUUUGUCCGGAAAGAAAUCCUUGGCCCUAAUACGGUCGGGGGAUGACGGUACCGGAAGAAUAAGCACCGGCUAACUACGUG